GCAUCAUGUAAACUCAUACUAAUUACUAAUAUAUUUUUAAAUAUAAAAGUAUAAUCAAUUUAAGCAUAGAGCUGAGGCUUUAUAAGUACUGUGGUCUCUGUAAGAUGAUUUACUAAGAUGGACCUGUCUCAAUAUGUGCUAAAACCAAUAUAAUAGCAUUUAGUGUUUUAAUAUUAAUUUGAGUUGGUAUUGAGGAAAACAUUGCCAUUCCCAUUUCCCCCCAAUUUUCCCACUACUUGUUAAUAAACGCGCACAACGUUGACCGUAGGGAGAGGCCCUUUUUGACCCCGUACAUGCUUCAAAUAAUGGGGUUUUAAAAACGUCUUGUGAAUUAGAGUCGUUUGUUGAUGGCUGUGAAAAGCCACAGUGUUACACAGCAAACAUGCGUUAUUAGUGGUGAAUUCGGCCUAGUGGGUUCUACGUAUUAUUAAAGAAUUUACGGUAAAACAGUUGGCGGCUAUUACAAAACCAGUUCGUGUUCUACAGCAUUUAGGCUUUGUCAACGUGCGGGCGUUUUGGUGCUAAAUGAACGAACUAAUGAGGUUGUGUUUACACACGUGGUGGCGCCGGUGGACACGAGGGGGCGCGUCGUACUUAUCGUUAGUGAACUUGGAGAGAGACUACAAACGCUACGAACUCUUAACACGGACCUUUUCCAUGGUAGACAUUUGGAGUUGUCGGUGCAGGAAAAGCACAGGUGUCCCUAACAUCCAUCAAGUGCCCCAGUAAAGCGUGUCAGUGAAGCCAGUACAGCACCAGAGCCCAGAUGCUGGCCACGCUCACUAUAAAGCAGGCAGUGUGAACAUUUCUACUGGGUUAAUUUAAAAUGAGUGGUUUAUGUAGUUAUUAAACAUGUAAUAACCAGCUUUUGUUUUGCUCGCAAGCCUAAUGUAAUAGCUAAAAUCUUUUUUUCUAAAACAUUUUCUAGAGCUCGAGUGAAUAUGUAUAUUCGACCCUAACAGCCAGUACAGCUAAAUAAUAUGGUGUGUGUGAGUGAGUGAGUGAGUGAGUGAGUGAGUGAGUGAGUGAGAGUGUGACUCGUGUGAUCCAGGAACUAAUAGUGACUUA
rnacentral:lncRNA from 1 species